CUGACCGAGCACGCCGCGUGAGUGAAGAAGGUUUUCGGAUCGUAAAACUCUGUUGGUAGAGAAGAACGUUGGUGAGAGUGUAAAGCUCAUCAAGUGACGGUAACUACCCAGAAAGGGACGGCUAAAUACGUGCCAGCAGCCGCGGUAAUAA
rnacentral:rRNA from 1 species